rnacentral:rRNA from 1 species
UCCAGACUCCUACGGGAGGCAGCAGUGGGGAAUAUUGCACAAUGGGGGAAACCCUGAUGCAGCGACGCCGCGUGAGUGAAGAAGUAUUUCGGUAUGUAAAGCUCUAUCAGCAGGGAAGAUAAUGACGGUACCUGACUAAGAAGCCCCGGCUAACUACGUGCCAGCAGCCGCGGUAAUACGUAGGGGGCAAGCGUUAUCCGGAUUUACUGGGUGUAAAGGGUGCGCAGGUGGCAGGGCAAGUCAGAUGUGAAAGCCCGGGGCUCAACCCCGGUAUUGCAUUUGAAACUGUCCGGCUAGAGUGCAGGAGAGGCAAGCGGAAUUCCUAGUGUAGCGGUGAAAUGCGUAGAUAUUAGGAGGAACACCAGUGGCGAAGGCGGCUUACUGGACGGUAACUGACGUUGAGGCUCGAAAGCGUGGGGAGCAAACAGGAUUAGAUACCCCAGUAA